CGACUGUACAACCAUCUGUAUUGUAUUCAUUAACAGUGUGGAGUCGACUGGACAACCAUCUGUAUUGUAUUCAUUAACAGUGUGGAGUCGACUGGACAACCAUCUGUAUUGUAUUCCUUAACAGUGUGGAGUCGAAUUUGAUAUAUCAAGUUGAAGAAAGAAAUAGGAAUAGUCAGAACACGAAGCAAACAGGUAAGUGGGACUAGGCAGAACUUCAGCCUGAGCAGGACGUACGAGAUACGACUAACGAUCCGGCAGGGACGAGACGUCAAAGCGCCGCUUAAAUGCUGCCAGUGAGUGGUGGAAUAGGGAACAGGUGCGUGAUCAUCAAGUGGAAACAGCCGGCACUGGCAUCACCCUGGAGCUGACACGCCCCCUAAUAGGUUGCCAGGACGACCAAAACAGAGGCACAGACAGAAAGGGGAACAGGCAUCUAUACACACACAAUCACUGGGGAGGGACCGUGACAUGUCCUGCAUCUACAUUAAACAUUUACAGCACAAACUGUGUGUUCCUGCAAAAAAACGACAUGAGUUUAUUUCCUGUUCCAACAUGAACAAAUAACACGACACACUGUUAGUAAUUGCAUUUGUAAAUAAUUUAUAAUUUAAGGGUUAUCAUUAUCAACUGUUUGCCCCUGUCAUUGUUCAUAAUCCGUUCAUGUUAAUUACUGUAUUCGUAAAUGGUAGUUCAUGC
ensembl:lncRNA